rnacentral:lncRNA from 1 species
CUUGCGGUUAGAGCUGUAUAUGAACUUUAUUGUGAAAUAGGCAAGUACUUUUACCUACAGUUUUAUAAAAGAUAAAGACAAAUGCUUUAUGUCAAUGCAAUAUAUAGAAAGUUGGUUAGUUUAUUCACAUGUGCUACAAGUGCUUCAGGCUAUAUGGUCAGCCAAGCAUAUCUAUUAUGGAUUGGCUGCCCAUAUGGUCCACCCUUUGAUACCCAUUUGGUUGAAUGGAUCUGACGUGGGAUGUCUGAUACACCCAAUUCACUUCCAUCUGAAGAAAAAUUCCUGGGAUGCCACCUGUACAGUUUGAAACUUCUACAAUAUAAUAUAUUUUAAGGCUAGAGAUUAACAACAUUUCAGUUAUGCACAAAGUUAAAAUAAAUUAAAAAAGCAAUAUUAACUUGACUGAUUCUUUUCUAAAAUAUCUGGCCCUGAAAAGGGCCUUUUUACAUUAAUGAAGCGUG